ACGGGCCGCAGCAGGCGCGAAAACUUUACAAUGCAGGAAACUGUGAUAAGGGAACCCCGAGUGCCCGUAUACGCGGGCUGUCCAGGUGUGUAAAAAGCAUCUGAAGAAAGGGCCGGGCAAGACCGGUGCCAGCCGCCGCGGUAAUACCGGCGGCUCGAGUGGUGGCCACUAUUAUUGGGCUUAAAGCGUCCGUAGCUGGACUGAUAAGUCUCUUGGGAAAUCCGCCGGCUUAACCGGCGGGCGUCUAAGAGAUACUGUCAGUCUAGGGACCGGGAGAGGUGAGAGGUACUCCGGGGGUAGGAGUGAAAUCCUGUAAUCCCUGGGGGACCACCGAUGGCGAAGGCAUCUCACCAGAACGGCUCCGACAGUGAGGGACGAAAGCUGGGGGAGCGAACCGGAUUAGAUACCCGGGUAGUCCCAGCCGUAAACUAUGCGCGUUAGGUGUACCGGUGACCACGAGUCAC
rnacentral:rRNA from 1 species